GAUGAACGCUGGCGGCGUGCCUAAUACAUGCAAGUCGAGCGAACAGACGAGGAGCUUGCUCCUCUGACGUUAGCGGCGGACGGGUGAGUAACACGUGGAUAACCUACCUAUAAGACUGGGAUAACUUCGGGAAACCGGAGCUAAUACCGGAUAAUAUAUUGAACCGCAUGGUUCAAUGGUGAAAGACGGUUUUGCUUUCACUUAUAGAUGGAUCCGCGCCGCAUUAGCUAGUUGGUAAGGUAACGGCUUACCAAGGCGACGAUGCGUAGCCGACCUGAGAGGGUGAUCGGCCACACUGGAACUGAGACACGGUCCAGACUCCUACGGGAGGCAGCAGUAGGGAAUAUUCCGCAAUGGGCGAAAGCUUGACGGAGCAACGCCGCGUGAGUGAUGAAGGUCUUCGGAUCGUAAAACUCUGUUAUUAGGGAAGAACAAAUGUGUAAGUAACUAUGCACGUCUUGACGGUACCUAAUCAGAAAGCCACGGCUAACUACGUG
rnacentral:rRNA from 1 species